rnacentral:rRNA from 1 species
UACGUAGGGUGCAAGCGUUAAUCGGAAUUACUGGGCGUAAAGCGUGCGCAGGCGGUUCGUUAAGUCAGAUGUGAAAGCCCCGGGCUCAACCUGGGAACUGCAUUUGAAACUGGCGGGCUUGAGUGUGGCAGAGGGGGGUGGAAUUCCGCGUGUAGCAGUGAAAUGCGUAGAGAUGCGGAGGAACACCGAUGGCGAAGGCAGCCCCCUGGGCCUGCACUGACGCUCAUGCACGAAAGCGUGGGGAGCAAACAGG